AAACGCGCCGUUUAGCAUUCAGUAACCCCCAACCUUACCCGUUACCAACCCUAACUCACUCCAACACUCUCUCCAACGGUGCAGCAGCAGACCCUCCCUCGUCCUUCCCAUCACCCUCGAGCUAGCCGUUCCUCUCAACGCCGGCGAGCUCACUCCCUCCCUUUCGUUCAGUCGCCGGACUACUCCUGACGCCGUCGCUGGUUGGAGCUUCGAAGCUCACUCGGUCCCUCACUCAGCUAACGUCUCAGACUCUCAGCAGUGGAAGCAUAGUCGCCGGGUUCGCUUCCUGCCUCCGUCGCGAAGCUUUGUUCCACCGUCGCCAGCUCUCCGUUUCCAGCGCCGUCAUCCUUCCUUGCAUUUGAAUCUGGAGGAAGCGCAGGGAGGAAGCGCAGAUAGCGAGCAGCAGUGAAAGUGAUCGUGCAGAGAGAGUGAGAGAUGGAGGUUCCCGGUUCAUCAAAGAAGAUGAUAGCGACGCAGGAGGAGAUGGUGGAAGCGAAGGUUCCCCUUGCAUACAGGGACCAGUGCGCACACCUCCUCAUCCCUCUCAACAAGUGCCGCCAGGCCGAGCUCUACCUUCCAUGGAAGUGCGAGAACGAGCGUCACUCCUACGAGAAGUGCCAGUACGAGCUCCUCAUGGAGCGCAUGCUUCAGAUGCAGAAGAUCAAGGAACGAGCCUCCCUUAAUCACUCCCAAUCCAAGGGCGCCGCCUUUCCCGUCAUCCCUAAAACCGCCAAUGCCUGAUUCAUUCCAGGGGCGAUUUUGGGUAUAUACUCAAUUUCAACUUAUUGUUGAAGAUGGUAGGAGUUUGUUACUUUGACCCUGUACUCAUGGCUUUCCACUGGAGUAGAUGUAAAUUAUGGUUGAUUCGGAACCUUUGCUUGGGUGGGAGUUCCUUCAUGUUUUUCAGUUGUGUGAAGUCGAAAUUACCUUGGAUUGUUUGUCCAGAGACUACCAAAGACUGUUUAUACUUUAAUUCUCGCAAUUUCUCAUCAUGGACACGUUUUUACUUGAAAGUAAUAAAUUUUUCUUAACUUUUCAUAAGUGGAGAUAUGGUUGGUUUGCCACUUCUAUUCCCUGACCAAUCAUCACAUAUGUUUGAAAUAUUUUUGUUAAGGUGAAUUCUAUGGUGUAGAAAUAAUUUUUUUUUCUACACUUGAGGAAACUAACGUGACAUAGAUUUAGGAGUGAUACCUA